ensembl:lncRNA
CUCUUAUCCAAACCAUAACACCAAUUUAUUUCAGUUUACAUUGAUUUUAAGCAGCUUGGAAAAAUGUUCACUAAAAAUCUAAUUCUCACUUUUCCCCAAUAUACAGAACACCGCUACAACUUGACAAAGUUGUCAUUAAGGUUUCAGGCACUGCAGCGCACCAUUCAGUGUCCUUCACGCAUGAAUCCAAAGUGUCUUGUUAAGACACCUUGGAUUAUGUGUACAAUACCACAAUAAAGACAGACCAAGAAGAAGUUACCUUUGGAGGAUCAACAUCAGAGCACGGAUCAUAAAAGAGGAAAGUCGAGGACAAAGUGUUGUGCACAAUGACACUUUUCUUGUUAAAGCAACUUAUGUGGUAGCAGACACAACUGGAUCAACUGAUCUAUGCUUUGGGGUACCCAAAAUGUGGAAGUUGGUUUCUGGUACAACAUCUUCAACCUAUCCAUCCGGCACUUUAAAGUGCAGACGCUGUAGGGGUACGGGUGAUAGCGAGACAGCAGCAUGAGGCUUUGUUAUGAAGGUCUCUGGAAGGUCUUUGGCACACUAGAGAUGAAGGCUUGAAAAGAGACUGUUGGAUCAGUUCUCCACUAAUACAUGAGCCGGAGCCAGAGUCAGCGUGACAUUACAGCUGACGCGCUGUCACAACGGUCGACGCCGCGUCGGCAGCCAAUGUGGGCCUCUUUCAAUGGGCUCCAACAGCAGGUGUGACUUCACAUUCAGUACUUUAGGAGGAUGAAAAGAGAGAAUGAGGAAAAUGGAAAAAGAUGGACAAACUUGUGAACCCCAUCACUCCGGUGGGAACAGAGGAGUUCACUUUAUAGAACCACGGCGACAUGGCAGAACAAAGAGAGGAAAUGGAGGGUGGGAAAAAAACAAGAAAUGCAGAUCAUCCCCUUGCCUGUGACAGGCUUUGUCUUGCCCACUCAUGACUGGAUAUGCUGUGUGAGCGCGCUCAGAACUGUCGCUUCCUAAUCAUCAUUUCAUACUUCAUUAAUCUCUCUUUCUUGCUCAAGUUUUCUUGGCGUAAUCCACAGAUAUAUGACAUGAGGUGGGAGUGUUUAGAUUCGUUCCCAAUAGUCAUUUUUAGAAGUGCCUCUCGUGCUUCAACCACCUCCGUAAAACAGGCAUAAUCCACACAAAAUUACCAGCAGUGACUGAAAAACCAACUAGAGAACCAACCAAUUCAUGCGUUACAAAUGUGUAUUUGCAGUUUCAAAGACAGGAACAGUAUAACUCUUGAUGUGGCAUUUGGGCUUACACGACACAAGCAACAAUGUACUUUGCAUGCAAAUAACAUGCAGUAAUGAAUUAUGUAGCCAUGCAUACUUACUCUUGCAUUCACAUUUUUGCAUUUUCAUGCAUGUUUGAUUCUGUUAGCAAGCUGGCUUUGGUGUGUGGCCUAUGGCACACCUGAAAAACACUGAACACUGAAAAAUAAAUAGCUAGUGUGAUUGCUAAGACGAGUAUCACUUCCAUGGAAACUGGCUUAAAGUAUCAAGACUGUGGCUCAUUUUUCCUACAUAAUAAAUGACUUGCGCCAGAUGAAACGCAAUAGCAAAUGCUGUCAUGUUGCAUUCGGAUACCUGAUUUUUGGGAACGCAAUCAUGUGAGAC